AUUGAACGCUGGCGGCAUGCUUUACACAUGCAAGUCGAACGGUAACAGGCCUUCGGGUGCUGACGAGUGGCGAACGGGUGAGUAAUGCAUCGGAACGUACCCAGAGGUGGGGGAUAACGCAGCGAAAGCUGUGCUAAUACCGCAUGUGAUCUGAGGAUGAAAGCGGGGACCGAGCCGCAAUUUUUGGCCUCGCCCCUUUUGGACCGCCGAUGUCGGAUUAGCUAGUUGGUGGGGUAAAGGCCUACCAAGGCGACGAUCCGUAGCUGGUCUGAGAGGACGACCAGCCACACUGGGACUGAGACACGGCCCAGACUCCUACGGGAGGCAGCAGUGGGGAAUUUUGGACAAUGGGCGCAAGCCUGAUCCAGCAAUGCCGCGUGCGGGAAGAAGGCCUUCGGGUUGUAAACCGCUUUUGGCAGGAACGAAACGGUGUCCGCUAAUACCGGGCGCUAAUGACGGUACCUGCAGAAUAAGCACCGGCUAACUACGUG
rnacentral:rRNA from 1 species